GGGGAUUAGCUCAGUUGGUAGAGCACCUGCUUUGCAAGCAGGGGGUCAUCGGUUCGACUCCGUUAUCCUCC
rnacentral:tRNA from 1 species